UCCACACCCUGCCCCUGGAGCCCCAGUCCAGCCCCAGAACAGCCCAGAAAAGCCAAAGGGUGAACACAUCUUGGCUCUACAUCCUCUUGGAAUCUCUAUGAGCUGACCACCACUGGAAACAGGAGUGCAACCUCCUACCAAAAGCAGAAUCUGCAGAAGAGACUACAUCCAAGCAAUAAUGCAAUGAAAAAGUAUGAAGAGAAGCCCAGGUGGCCACCUUGCAAAUUUCCAAUGUGGAAGCCUUCGACCUCUCCGCCCAAGAAGCAGCUAUAGUCCUAGUGUAAUGAGCUUUACAAACCCUGGGAGCCUCUUUACCCUUAACUACAUACGCCUCUCUAAUACAAUCCCUUAACCAUCUAGCUAAGCAAAUCUUAGAAGCCAUUUGACCCCUCUUAAGACCCCCUAAGAGUACAAACAAUCUGUCAGAAGAUAUGAAAUCUUUGAUUCUUCUGUGAUAAACCCUAAGUGUUCUUCUUACAUCCAAUUUAUGCAGCCGUUGCUCUUUGUCAUUGCUGGGUUUAGGGAAAAAUGAGGGCCAAGAAACCGUCUGGUUUAGAUAAAACUCAGAUGCCAUCUUUGGGACAAAAAAAAAUUUUAAAAGAGGAACCAUCCAAAGGACUACUUUGUUUCUGAUGGAACUUUAUACAUGUUCUAAAUACCAAAAUAGAAGUACUAUGGAAUAUAAAACAAAAAAACAAUUGACAUUGAAACAGCUAUAAACAUACCACUUGACACAAGAACAUGAAAAAAACAUUAUUUUUGUUGCGUCUCUGUGUGAGUUACAUAGAUUAAAAGUCUCCUAUGAAUACUAAAAGCAACCAAAAAAUAAAGGAAACAAGUACAAGG